rnacentral:rRNA from 1 species
GACGAACCGUGCGAACGUUGUUCGGAAUCACUGGGCUUAAAGGGCGCGUAGGCGGCCGACCAAGUCCGGGGUGAAAGCCCCCAGCUCAACUGGGGAAGUGCCCCGGAUACUGGCCGGCUCGAGGGAGGUAGGGGCGGAUGGAACUUCCGGUGGAGCGGUGAAAUGCGUUGAUAUCGGAAGGAACGCCGGUGGCGAAAGCGAUCCGCUGGCCCUCUGCUGACGCUGAGGCGCGAAAGCCAGGGGAGCAAACGGG